GCAAAUUGUAUUGUCAAACUAGUACUUUUACACAAAAAAACUAUUUAAGUAAUGCUCUAAAUUAUUACUGUGUGGAACAUGUGAAAGACCAUUAUAUAGUUCAUGUUGCAGAUUUUCAGAUCAAGAGAGAGAAGUGUUAAAAAAAGGCACAUACACAGAGAGAGAUUAACUCUAUCAAGAAGACAUCUCGCAAAUUGUAUUGUCAAACUAAUGAACCGAAUGACUUGGAUAUUUUAGCCAACAAUUGGUCAGAUAAAGUGGGAAAACAUGGGCCAACCGUUCAUUUAAUCACUAAUUCGACUCAAGUAAAAGAAAGAGAAGGCGUAAAAAUACAUAAAGUUGAAGACUGUGGCGCCAAAAUGCAUCACCAGUUUUUGGCUUCCUCUUAAAUAGUAUCUCCAUUGAUAUGGCAAACCAAGAAGACACCAAGAGAUCCUCCAACCGAGACAUAUAUCCCAUACCCACGAGAGAAUAAAAGAAACUAAAUGCAAUCCGGUUUAGUCGGACUGUUCGUCACCCAUCUUACUAAAAAUCAUUACGACGUUCUUUUUGAUAACCAGUUCCGUCUUGCGAAGGCAAAACUAAAGAAGCAUUCCUUAGUUAGUAACAAAUUCGACCUUACCUCCUCUUUCGCUAAUCUUGCUGGAUAUUGUACAUCAAGGAGGUCAUCAUAAAAUCCUUGGUUUAAACUUAAACUCAAGAAAACAUAACGCAACAGUAAGUCACUGAAUUUCUAGGCAAAAUCUGGUCAUUCAAAUGUUUAGCAUGCCGAUAUCGCAAGUCGCUGAAUUUCACAACAUAUUUUCCGACAUACCAGCCCCUAAAAGCUUAAUGCUUUCAAAUCUCAAUCACAUAUAAACACUCUGCGUCCAACAUAAUCAAAGGACAACAUACAGAUCAGCGAAUUCAUAAAAAAAAAACAUCGAAAAGGUGGAAUUCGUACCUUUUUGGAGCAGGAACUAGGACAAACGAGUUUUAAACAAAACGAAAUUCCACCGGAGUUUAUGUUGUUUCUGCCAGAAUUUCAAUGUUGAAUCACCGGAAGUUUCUAAUUUUCGUCGGAAUUGAUUUUUCCACAGAAUUUCCUCUUGAAUCCUUUGGUUACGUGGGAUUAGAGGAUUGCUCCUCCAAAAUCCCCAAUUUUUCCCCAAAGAAUUCCCCCCUCACCCUGGACUAUUUAUAGGGGAAGCUAGGUUUUAAAAGUGUGAACUUCAAAUCUGAAAUUUGGUUGGUUUUCUAAAGAAAUUUGAAUUCUAAAGUGAGAGAAAAGGGGAGCCGUUGGGUAUUGAUUUCUUACCCGAAAUUGUGAAUCAUAGACUGAGUACAAAGAAAGUCUCUGAUUUUUGGCCAAAUAUGGGAUGUAUCAAGAGGGUAAAUUGGUAAAAGGUUGGAAACGGCUAGGUUGACUGGGCGGGUACCGUUUUUGCCGGUGUUGACGUUGUUCGAUCUUGUACGCUGUCGGAGCGUUGUUCGUUGUUGCUGUUUGAUGAAAUUGUUGUUGUUCGCUGUUAACGUUGAAUGGGGAAAAGGAUUUUGUCGUUGACAACGUUAUUGGGAUGGUUUUUUCGCUGGUGGUUGAAUGUUGUUGAAGGUGGGAAUUGUACGCUGUUGGAGUUAUCUGUUGUAUUGUCGGGUAAGGGGAAUGGGUUGAAGGUGAUAGCUGGGCCGGGUAGAG
rnacentral:lncRNA from 1 species